AUUGAACGCUGGCGGCAGGCCUAACACAUGCAAGUCGAACGAGUGGCGGACGGGUGAGUACUGUCUGGGAAACUGCCCGAUGGAGGGGGAUAACUACUGGAAACGGUAGCUAAUACCGCAUACCAUCGGAUGUGCCCCGAUGGGAUUAGCUAGUGGGUGGGGUAACGGCUCACCAAGGCGACGAUCCCUAGCUGGUCUGAGAGGAGGACCAGCCACACUGGAACUGAGAAACGGUCCAGACUCCUACGGGAGGCAGCAGUGGGGAAUAUUGCACAAGGGGCGAAAGCCUGAUGCAGCCAUGCCGCGUGUAUGAAGAAGGCCUUCGGGUUGUAAAGUACUUUAAGCGGGGAGGCGUUACUCGCAGAAGAAGCACCGGCUAACUCCGUGCCAGCAGCCGCGGUAAUAC
rnacentral:rRNA from 1 species